AGUCCACGCUUCCCAAAGACACUUUAUAUAAAAAAUGGUUUGUCGAUAUGGUGUCUAUUUCAUUUCUGGUCAUAUCCUGUUUCUUAUGUGGUCAACGGCAGUAAAUAAAAAAAAAAUUCCAGUGUCAACCGUUUUAUAGCAGUGGAUUAGCAGAUGGGAGAGUAUAAAAGUGUUGGGGUGGACAAUGUCUUUAUUCUUCAUUGGUUGUACAUCUAGAGGUUGACAUUUUCGUUUUCCAUCGCUGAAGGACACACGCUGAUUCCUACUGCAUCCUGUUUGAACAUUAGUAAACUUGGAUUUAGCCACCAUUUUCUCCCAGAAAACCAUCUGUGUAUAUUUGCAGAAAAGUAGCAAACAUGAGUAAUGGCCCUACAUUUCAAUAGCCCUGCAGACCUGAAAAAUCAAUAUUGAUUCCUACUGAUCCAUCACUGCUUGGAAGUAAUGUUGGAUUUUGCCAUCAUUGUUAGUUUACAACAAUGGAUUUUACUAUUUUGCUAGAAAACCAUAAGCCAUGGGUGACGCUGAGAUGGCAAUCUUUGGGACGGCUUCCCAAUUUCUCCAAGUCAGAGAAGGAGAGGAUUGAGGCACAGAAGAGACCAUUUGAUGCGAAGACAUACAUCUUUGUAAUUGAUCCUAAACAAAUGUAUGUCAAAGGCAUCGUCCAGAGCAAGGAGGGUGGAAAAGCCACUGUGAAGAAAGAGGACAAUACUGGCACCCUGGAGGAUCAAAUAAUUCAGGCCAAUCCUCUAUUGGAACUCUGUGAGGAAUGACAACUCAUCCGGCUUUUUGCAAGAUUCUAAAUGCAAGUGCUAUUCCUGAGGGACAAUUCAUUGAUAGCAAGAAAGCUUUAGAGAAGCUUGUUGGAUUCAUUGAUGCAGACCACACUCAGUACAAAUUUGGACACACUACGGUGAAUUAUUCAACACUGUUUUCUUUAAAGCUGGCUUAUUAGGUGCAGAGGUUACCUCAUGAGAGUUGAGUUUAAGAAGAUGAUGGAGAGAAGAGAAUUCGUCUUCUGCAUUCAGAUAAGAUCAAGCCUCUCCUGAAGAGCACAGAGUCUGAGAAAGAGAUG